rnacentral:tRNA from 1 species
GGAAGUGUGGCCGAGCGGUUGAAGACGCCGGUCUUGAAAACCGGCGACCCGAAAGGGUUCCAGAGUUCGAAUCUCUGCGCUUCCGCCA